UACGUAGGUGGCAAGCGUUGUCCGGAAUCACUGGGCGUAAAGCGCGCGCAGGCGGCGAUCUACGUCUGGGGUGAAAGCCCGGAGCUCAACUCCGGGACUGCCUUGGAUACGGGAUCGCUUGAGGAUUGGAGAGGCAAGGGGAAUUCCACGUGUAGCGGUGAAAUGCGUAGAUAUGAUGGAGGAACACCUGUGGCGAAGGCGCCUUGCUGGCCAAUUUCUGACGCUGAGGCGCGAAAGCGUGGGGAGCAAACAGG
rnacentral:rRNA from 1 species